AGUUUGAUCAUGGCUCAGAACGAACGCUGGCGGCAGGCCUAACACAUGCAAGUCGAACGCUCUCUUCGGAGGGAGUGGCAGACGGGUGAGUAACGCGUGGGAAUCUACCCAGCUCUACGGAAUAACGCAUGGAAACGUGUGCUAAUACCGUAUACGCCCAUGGGGAAAGGAUUAUCGGAGUUGGAUGAGCCCGCGUCUGAUUAGCUAGUUGGUGAGGUAAUGGCUCACCAAGGCGACGAUCAGUAGCUGGUCUGAGAGGAUGACCAGCCACACUGGGACUGAGACACGGCCCAGACUCCUACGGGAGGCAGCAGUGGGGAAUAUUGGACAAUAGGCGCAAGCCUGAUCCAGCCAUGCCGCGUGAGUGAUGACGGCCUUAGGGUUGUAAAGCUCUUUCACCGGUGAAGAUAAUGACGGUAACCGGAGAAGAAGCCCCGGCUAACUUCGUG
rnacentral:rRNA from 1 species